GGCCCCAUGGUCUAGCGGUUAGGACAUCGCCCUUUCAAGGCGGUAGUAGGGGUUCAACUCCCCUUGGGGCCG
rnacentral:tRNA from 2 species